rnacentral:rRNA from 1 species
UACGUAGGGGGCAAGCGUUGUCCGGAUUUAUUAGGCGUAAAGAGCGUGUAGGCGGCCGCACAGGUCCGUUGUGAAAACUGGAGGCUUAACCUUCAGACGUCGAUGGAAACCGUGCGGCUAGAGUCCGGAAGAGGAGAAUGGAAUUCCUGGUGUAGCGGUGAAAUGCGCAGAUAUCAGGAAGAACACCCGUGGCUAAGGCGGUUCUCUAGUACGGUACUGACGCUGAGACGCGAAAGCGUGGGGAGCGAACAGG